rnacentral:tRNA from 2 species
GCCCAGGUGGUGGAAUGGCAGACACGCCGUCUUGAGGGGGCGGUGCCCGUAAGGGCGUGUGAGUUCAAAUCUCACCCUGGGCACCA